GAGGGAGCCGCGUGCUGUGUGAGUGAGUGUGUAAAUGAGUGUGUAAGUGUGUGUGUGUGAGUGUGCUCGGGCAGAAGAUGGCGGGGCGGGAGGGCCGCUGGGUGUCGGAGCGGCGCUUUUCUCUGCGCCGGCAGCGAGGGAGGGAGGGAGAGGGCGGCCGGAGCGCGGAGGGAUACGGAGGGAGCGGGAGGAGGGGGAGGAGGAGGAGGAGGAGGAGGAGGAGGAGGAGGAGGGGCCGCCGAGGCUGGAGGCUGCCGAGCCGCGGUGGCGCAGCCACGGGAAGCGAGCGAAGCCAAAAUGCCCCCGGGGAGCGCGGCCCCGCUGGGGAGGCGGGCUGAAGGCCGGCCCUCCUCCUCCUCCUCCUCUUCCUCCACCUCCUCCUCUUCCUCCCUCCCCCCUGCCUCAGGCAGCGCCCCCCCACCCGAGGGGGAGGGGGGAGGGCUCCGGUGCCCCCCGGCGCCCGCGCAUAAGUCAGGCGUGCUGGUUUUAGGACAAAAAAAAAGAGAAAAAAACAUUAAAAAACCCCAAAACAACAACAAAAAAACACCCCCCCCCCACCCUCCCAGCCUCGUGUGUGGGCGCCAGGUUCCUGCCACGGGGGCGCCUCUAGGUUGAGCUCAUCCUCCUCAUCCUCCUCCUUCCUCAUCUUCAUCCUCCUCAUCCUCAUCUUCCUCCUCAUCUUCCUCCUCCUCCUCCUCAGGGCGCUGCUCGCUGUCCUCGCCUCGCCCGGGAGCGGAGCCGCCGGACCAGCGGAGUUCUCCAUUUGGAAGAAGCUGCAUUUGCCAUUUCAAGAGUCAAAAUAUCAAGAGCAUCCUUUGGCUGACAUAUGCAAUUAGCUCAAGUUCACUCAAGGACAUGGAAAAAGCAGAAAGUAAUGACCAAGAAAAAUCAUAUAAAGAGAUUUAGUCAAAGAAGCUCCCCCAGAAGAAGCCUGUCCAGAUGUGUCAGUGUCUUAUGAUGUUACAUCACUGCUGUGAAGGGUCAUUUCAACAACUCCACCUGGCUAGGU